CGCGAAAAGGGGAAGCCAUAGUUCUAGCUUAUGUUCAAUACCAGAUGUUCUAGGAAGAAUUUUCCAAUUUCUGUGACAGUUUCAAAUCGACCACGAAUCUGGUACUGGAAUCAACCUAAUCGUUUGAAUCUGUUCUUCAGAAAUAUAAACAUGGUAACCCCGUCUUCAAGCAUGAUUCUGGUUGUUUUCAUAUGCUUUAUUUUUGUAGGAGGAACAAAUGAAUCAAAUGACGAUCGUAGUUCCGAUAAAGUGCAUCUGCCUUUGUAUUUGGUUUAAGGUUUUUUAAAUCAUAAAAUAAAGUACUUUUGUUGCUUAUAUUGUAUCUGUACAGAAUGCAUGCAUUUGAGGCUAAAGCUAUUCUGCAACCAACCUUAAUGUGUAUUAGUGUUUGUUUGUUUUGAUUUUGAUUGCAUAAUAAACAGUAACACGGUGGCUUUUUUAUUAUAAAAGCUCCUUUGGUUUCUUUA